GUAAUGGGCCAAACAGAGUGGAGGAACGGGGUGAACCCGUCUGCUGGACGCUGCGGUAUGCUGGAAACCCGAUGUCCCGGCCCAGCGCCGGGGCAGGGCAAUCAGCAGGCAACCCCGCCAGGGAACGAAAGUUUUCGGCGGGGAGUCCUCAGAGACUAUGAGCAGCGCGGCUGAGAUGCCGAAGAUAUAGUCCAACCCCCGCAGUAAUGCGGGA
rnacentral:ncRNA from 1 species